rnacentral:lncRNA from 1 species
CCUUGAUCAGUAACAUAGUAAAUGACACAUGUGAUUCUGUACUUACAAGGAAGUAGAAAAUAGCAAAUAAAAAUCAUGACUUGGCUCAGAGGGUUGCUAUUGCCUCCGAAGGCGGUAGCCCCCUGAUCUCCACUCUAUUUUUUUUGUCUCCUUUCUUAAAUCUGCGGCACUGCUGACCUUGAGACCUGAGUUGACAAGCAGGUCUCAUCAAGUGGCGCUGAACAGGGACCUGAAGCAGUUCACAGUCUACAAGACUAAUGGACAGGUGCUGACAGACGCGGGGAAUUCUGGCUGAAAAAGCGACAGACUGGAAAGUAACAAGAGAUGAAGAAACCAAAAGAAUAAUCAGGAAAUUGAAUGUAGAACAAUUAAUGCUCAACGAAAAGUGGCUUUUUGUAGUUGUUACUAUCAAAGGUAAGGGUUCCCUUCAAGAUUACCUCACAGAUUUUCCAGGAGGUGAAGAUGAAGACAAGGAGACUGAACAAUGGAUGUGUGUGUGUAACUGUCCCCUGACUCACAAAAGUGCAAUGGAAAGCAAACAAGUGAAGUGAAAGAAUGCAAAGAGGGAGAUGGAACAAAAGCUUGCAGAGAAGUGCCAGUUAACAACUGACUAUAAGAGAAGAAUAAUCUUCUGAGUAAAUACAGAGAAAGAGAGAAAGAGAAGGGGCAGGGAUUUGUAUUGAAGAAGCUUGCUCUGUACUUUGAAACAAACUGAAAGAGAAAAAAUAGUAUUAUUUAUUUAAAAUCACUCCCUGACUUGAAUCAAUUCAGGAUACAAAAUAGUUUGCCUCCCUACUGAUUAUAUCAAUUUUUAAAUUGCAUUUAUUGCUAUUUUUCUUUUAUCUAGAGAUACGUAUUGAGUGUCUGUUAUAUGCCAGAAACUAUUCUCAGGAGAGCAUUGAACAAAACAGAAAAACUCUGCACUCACACAGCUUAAAUUCUAGCUGACAAUAGCUAAACAAACAAGCAAACAUGAUGUCAUAUAGUAUAAGUGCUAUGAAGAAAAAUCAGGUUAGGUACAUGGAAAGUUUUUACUUUCAUAGGGGUAGACAGGGAAACUGACUUACCCCAAGAUUAAUACACACUAAUGGUAGAUUUUUUUUUAACAAUAAAGAUUAACAAAAUGAAAAGCUGAAGUACUUUCUAUUUUAUUACCUAGGGAUAGAUACCUUGUGUUAAUAUUUUUCAUAUGUGUGUAUAUGUAUGUAUUUUUUAACUGGGAUACAUUGCCUUAUUGUUUGAAACAUUUGAUAAGUAUCUUCCAAUAAGAUGAUUCUGCUUUUCCUCACUGUCCUAUUUUAUAAUCCCUACUUAAAAGCAGAGUACACUUCUUGCCUCAUUUUUAGUUUUGAUUUGGUUCAGCCAAUGAAAUGUGAGCAGUAAAGAUUUGUUUUGGUUCUGAGAGAUUCUUGAAGAGUCCUCACCCAUUUCUGCCGGCUCUUUUGCACUAUCUCUCUGCCAUGAGGAUGUCAGAUCCCAAAUACAAGCUUAUUUGUAUACUGGGUCUUGAGGUUAAACCAUCUGGAAUAGAGUCACAAAACAAAUGUUUCUUGUGGAAAUUUUGUUAAUGUAUCAUUAAAACUAGAGAAAUAUAUGCAAAUAUAGUUUAUUUCAGAAGAGAAGUCAUGUAGUAGUGAAUUUCUCACUAAGCAAAAUAGCAUGAUUGGUAUAUUCUUUUCCAACUAUUUUCCCUAUGUUUUAAAUUACAAAUGACAUUUAUAAAAAUUCUAAAACUUAACAGAGAUGGACGAAGUUAAAAGUGAAAUUUCAUAGUACACUUUCCCAAAUCUUGAUAAUCUCAGUUAAUCCCACAGAUAAUACUAUUAAAAAUUUAUAGCAUAUUCAUCUGUGAGUAUAUGACCCUUCUUCCUCUCUCUUCACUUCACACAGUCACACACACUUAUAAAAUAGGAUGGUAGCAUCAGACAUAAUAUUUUUGGAAUUGCUUGUGUGUCUGUGUGUCAGUGUGUGUGUAUUACUGAUUAUGUCAUGGCCACAUUUCCAAAUCAAUACAAAGGUAAAAGCUAUACUUCAUUCCUUUUAGCUGCACUCCAUGGUCUGACUGUAACACAAUUAAUUUAAUUAUAUUAUUAUUCAUGUAAAUGUAGGAUAUAUCUAAAUUUUGUAAUUGCAAACUAAUCUGAAAAAUGAAAUUUUAUGUAUUCUAUUUACUAGUGUUAGAAGAUAGUCCUACAAGUGGACAAGUGCUGUAGAUUUUCUAAAAUACUAUUUUUCUGCUUUCAUAUUAUUCCAUUGCAUAUGUAAUUUAUCUAAAAUGCCAUGUGGAGUUCCUGUCGUAGUGCAGUGGUUAACGAAUCCACCUGGGUCGAUCCCUGGCCUUGCUCAGUGAGUUAAGAAUCUGGCGUUGCUGUGAGUUGUGGUGUAGGUCACAGACGCAGCUCAGAUCCCGUGUUGCUGCGGCUGUGGAGUAGGCCAGUGGCUACAGCUCUGAUUAGACCCCUAGCCUGGGAACCUCCAUAUGCCGCAGGAGCGGCCCUAGAAAAGGCAAAAAGACAAUCAAUAAAUAAAUAAAUAAAUAAAUAAAUAAAUAAAAUGCCAUGUACAUGAUCAUUUACUUUUAUGGAGUUCUCCCCAACAUUUUAGUAGUAUGUAUAAAAUUACAAUGAACAGUCUCAUAUUUUAAUUACAAUGCACAUUCUCAUUAUUUCAUUAGUCAAAUUUCAAAUGUCAGUCAACAUCUUAAUUACAUCAUAAGUCAAUUUCAAAUGUUCAAAAAGAAUGGUAUAAAGUUCUAGAAUUGUGAUCAUCACUGUCAUAUUUUUUAUUACUAUUAGCAUUGGAUGAGAAUAGCUACUUUGGAUAGUUAUUAACACUGAUUAUUACCACCCAUUAAUAUAUAAUGAAUAUGGUUUGAACAUGGUUUACCUAUUUUUAGUUUUGUCAUUAGCAUAAGUAUAAUAUAUUAUCUUUUAAAUGUAGAUAGUAUACACAUUGUGAUGGUAUCUAUUUUCACCCAAGUGAAAGAACUGUAGAAAAAGGACAGAGGGAGUACAUUUUCUUAUACAGGGCUGGAACUGGAGUACACUUCCAUGUAUCAACAGUACACAUGGGAGUUCCCAUUACGGCUCAGCAGAUUAAGAACCUGACAGUCUCCGUGAGGAUGCGUGUUCGAUCCCUGGCCUCGCACAGUGGGUUAAGGAUCUGGCAUUGCUGUAACCUGUGUUGUAGGUCACAGAUUUUGCUCAGAUCUGAUGUUGCCAUGGCUGUGGUAUAGGCUGGCAGCUGCAGCUCCAGUUUGACCCCCACUCUGGAAAUUUCCAUAUGUUGCAGUUGUGGCCAUAAAGAGAAAAAAAGACUAUAAAAAAUUAAAUUUUAAAGUAAAAAAAAAAAAACAGUGCAUGUGGAGCACAAAAUCUCAGUUAUCUUUUUCUGAUGGUUUGGCACAUUUAAAAUAUUUUUUUGGCUUUCUUGAGGUAUAAUUGAUGUAUAACAGACUGUACAUAUUUAAGCAUCCAAUCUGAUAAGUUGUGACAUUUGUAUAAAAUCAAGUAACCAUCACAAUGUUCAAAAUAACAAACAUUUCUAUUAUCUUCAAAGUUUCUUUUUGCCCUUUCAUAAUCCAAUCUUCAUCCUCUACAUUCCCUAGGAAAAUAUUCUUUUGCUUUCUAUCACCCUAGAUUUGUUUCCAAUAUCUAGAUUUUUAUAAAAAUUGAAUAGUAUACUAUCCACUCUUUUUUGGUCUGGUUUAUUCCAUUCCUUGUAAUUAUUUUGAGAUCCAUUCAAAUGAUUGGAUGUAGUAAUAUUUUGUUCCUUGUUCUUAUUAAAUAUGAAUAAAACACAAUUUGUUUAGCCAUUCAUUGAUUAAUGGACAUUUGGGUUGUUUUCAGCUUUAGCUAUUAAUACAAAUAAAGUUGCUGUGAACACAUGUACAAAUAUUUUUGUGGUUGUAUUUUUCAUUCACUCAGAGUAAAUAUCUAAUAGUUGG